rnacentral:rRNA from 1 species
GCUGACGAUAAUAGCUUGGAGGUCCCACCUGAUCCCUUCCCGAACUCAGAAGUGAAACUCCAA